UGAUGAGGGAUACAUUUGACAUAUGUUUCAGAUAUUAUAGGCCAACAAGUUAUUUAUAGCAGUUUAAAUACAAGCAAUCAGUUUUUGGCAAAUACCGGAAAGCAGUUUUUGGCAGACAAUGACUUUUUGGCACAACAACAGCAAGCACUUUCUGGUAAAUGAUCACUUUUUGGCACAACACCUGGAGCUAAGGGGGCAAAACAAUCGCAUGAGUGCUGCUGUUUGACUGAGGAAGAAUAAAGUAGUCGUGCCUGGUUCUUCAGUUCCUGGGUCUGUAUGUCAGGAGUGUACAUGUGAGGCUGAGCAAAAUUCUACUGUAUUCAAAAUAAGCUGUGAGGAUCAGGAAUGUAACAAAUCUUGUGACAUGGAUAUGAAUAUGUGAAAACUGGUUCAGAUGAAUGCUGCGGGAAGU
ensembl:lncRNA